rnacentral:rRNA from 1 species
GAUGAACGCUGGCGGCGUGCUUAACACAUGCAAGUCGAGCGAUGAAGUUUCCCUCGGGAAACGGAUUAGCGGCGGACGGGUGAGUAACACGUGGGUAACCUGCCUCAUAGAGUGGAAUAGCCUUCCGAAAGGAAGAUUAAUACCGCAUAACGUUGAAAGAUGGCAUCAUCAUUCAACCAAAGGAGCAAUCCGCUAUGAGAUGGACCCGCGGCGCAUUAGCUAGUUGGUGGGGUAACGGCUUACCAAGGCAACGAUCAGUAGCCGACCUGAGAGGGUGAUCGGCCACAUUGGAACUGAGACACGGUCCAA